GGGGAAUUUUGGACAAUGGGCGAAAGCCUGAUCCAGCCAUGCCGCGUGAGUGAAGAAGGCCUUCGGGUUGUAAAGCUCUUUUAGUCGGAAAGAAAGAGUUGCAAUGAAUAAUUGUGAUUUAUGACGGUACCGACAGAAAAAGCACCGGCUAACUACGUGCCAGCAGCCGCGGUAAUACGUAGGGUGCGAGCGUUAAUCGGAAUUACUGGGCGUAAAGGGUGCGCAGGCGGUCUUGCAAGUCAGAUGUGAAAGCCCCGGGCUUAACCUGGGAAUUGCGUUUGAAACUACAAGGCUAGAGUGCAGCAGAGGGCAGUGCAAUUCCAUGUGUAGCAGUGAAAUGCGUAGAGAUGUGGAAGAACACCGAUGGCGAAGGCAGCUCCCUGGGUUGACACUGACGCUCAUGCACGAAAGCGCGGGGAGCAAACA
rnacentral:rRNA from 1 species